CACCAGCAGAACUGUGAAAAACUGGGCUACUUGGAACAUCGUAUAUUUUAAGAAGAUACUUGGGGAUUGGGGAUUGCAAUUAUUCCCCAUGAACGAGGAAUUCCCAGUAAGUGCGGGUCAUAAGCUCGCGUUGAUUAAGUCCCUG
rnacentral:ncRNA from 1 species